AGGCCAACCUGGCCUACAAAGUGAGUUCCAGGACAGCCAGAGCUACACAGAGAAAACAGAAAAUAACAGAGUAGACAAUUCUGCUUCUGAAGGACAUGUUCUCCUGUUAGGGGAUUGAGGCAGGACAAGGUGAACAAACCCUUGGUUUUUGUCACCCGUUUUUGAUUGAAGAGAUCAGAAUUAAGACUAUCCUCCAAGAAAUAUAAAGUUGAUUUUUUUUUCCAUUUCACGUCCCCAUGUUCGGGGUCAUCCGAGGUGCAAGGGGGAACAGAAGUAUAGUAAGACCCUGAGAACCUGAACAACAAUCUUAUACCCUGAACCUAGAGACCAGGGAGACAGCAGUAGAGGUGUCAAGGGUAAGGGUAGACACUGCUCCCUCGGGGUAGCAAGAUCUCUGCUACGAAGCAAAGGAUAUAACUAAUGUCUUUGUAAGGGUCAAGACUUAAGCAAGAUUCCCUUCUAUCCGUGCUUUAAAUCAGAAGCCUGGUGGGAGAUGGGAGGAAAGAAACCAGCAGCGGCUCUGGGUACUUUGGGCUAAAAUGAGCAGUUUCAAUCAAAGCCCUAGGGAGACAGAUAGGUAGGCCUCUGUCAGGUCAAAGCUAGCCUGGUCUAUGCAGCUAGUUCAAGGCCAUUAGGAACUACUUAGUGAGAGCCCAUUCCCAAAUAAAAUGCAUUUCUCAUACCCCCAGAGGAAGAAGAAGAGAUUCUGCCCCUCACUGUCCAACUUGAGGAGAGAAAUCCUCUGUGUACACAUGUACAUGGCUCCCAGCUCUGCUCUGAGCCACAAUCAGCAGGGAUGAUGAGUGGGAGCAAGGAGAGAGGACCCUGCUGCUCUGAAACUACCUCUAACCCCCACAGGUCGUUCAACCCAGGUCAAAACUUAGAGCUGGACACAGCGAUUGCAUACCUGUAAUCCCAGCACCUGGUGGAAGCAUGACAUUCCCAGAGCGCAGGACCAACCCCAGUCAGCUACAUAGUGAAUUGCAGACCACCCUGGGAUACACAAUACCUCAACACUAUCCCAGAGUGACUGUGCUUUCCUAUGCAGGAUCUGGAACCUUCUACCUUCUGGCGUAGUUAGCUAGAGAGAAAAGUCAAAGUUUGAUAUUUAGAUAUCACUUGGCCUUGUACUGGCAAUGUGACCUUGGAAUAAUUAACUUCUCAAA
rnacentral:sRNA from 1 species